UACGGGGGGAGCAAGCGUUGUUCGGAAUUACUGGGCGUAAAGGGCUCGUAGGCGGCCAACUAAGUCGGAUGUGAAAUCCCCAGGCUCAACCUGGGAACUGCAUCCGAUACUGGAUGGCUUGAAUUCGGGAGAGGGAUGCAGAAUUCCAGGUGUAGCGGUGAAAUGCGUAGAUAUGCGGAGGAACACCGAUGGCGAAGGCAAUCCCCUGGACCUGUACUGACGCUCAUGCACGAAAGCGUGGGGAGCAAACAGG
rnacentral:rRNA from 1 species